rnacentral:rRNA from 1 species
UGGCGGCGUGCUACACAUGCAGUCGAACGAAGAGCGAUGGAAGCUUGCUUCUAUCAAUCUUAAUGGCGAACGGGUGAGUAACGCGUAAUCAACCUGCCCUUCAGAGGGGGACAACAGUUGGAAACGACUGCUAAUACCGCAUACGAUCUAAGCUCAGCAUCGAGGAUAGAUGAAACGUGGCCUCUACAUGUAAGCUAUCACUGAAGGAGGGGAUUGCGUCUGAUUAGCUAACUGGAGGGGUAACGGCCCACCAAGGCGAUGAUCAGUACCCGCUCUGAGAGGAUGAACGGCCACAUUGAGACUGACACACGGCCCAGACUCCUACUGGAGGCAACAGUGGGGAAUCUUCCGCAAUGGACGAAACUCUGACGGAGCAACGCCGCGUGAGUGAUGACAGUCUUCGGGUUGUAAAACUCUGUUAAUCGGGACGAAAGGCCUUCUUGCGAAUACUGAGAAAGAUUGACCGUACCGGAAUAUAAAGCCACCGCUAACUACAUGCCAGCAGCCACGGUAAUACGUAAGUGGCGAGCGUUGUCCGGAAUUAUUGGGCGUAAAGCGCGCGCUGGCAGAUCCGUCAGUCUGUCUUAAAAACUCCGGGCUUAACCCCGUGAUGAGAUGGAAACUGCCGAUCUAGAGUAUCCGAGAGGAAAAUGGAAUUCCUAAUGUAUCGGUGAAAUGCCUAGAUAUUAAGAAGAACACCAGUGGAGAAAGCGACUUUCUGGACCAAAACUGACGCUGAGGCGCGAGAUCCAAGGCACCGAACGGGAUUACAUACCCCGAUAUCCCUGACCUGAAACGAUGGGUACUAGGUGUAUGACGUAUCUACCCCUUCUGAGCCAGAGUUAACGCCAUAAGUACCCCACAUGGAGAGUACGACCGACAAGAUGGAAACUCACACGAAUUGACGGAUGGCCCGGCCAAACUGUGAAACAAGUGGAAUAAAUUCAACCCGACCCUGAACAAGCCUUAGCAAGGUCUUGAACAUUGAUGGGACGGAAUCUAAAAAUCGUUCCUCCUUGUUCUGAA